CCCUUAGAUGUCCUGGGCCGCACGCGUGCUACACUGACGCAUACAACGAGUAUUUCCAGCUCCGAGAGGUAGCUGGUAAUCAGCAAUAUGCGUCGUGAUGGGAAUAGAGUUUUGCAACUAUUAGUCUUGAACGAGGAAUUCCUCGUAAGCACGAGUCAUCAGCUUGUGCUGAUUACGUCCCUGCCCUUUGUACACACCGCCCGUCGCUCCUACCGAUUGAAUGGUCCGGUGAAAUCUCAGGACGGCGGCUUGGUCGCUUGCGUCCGACUGCUGAAACUUGAUUAAACCAUACCAUUUAGAGGAAGGUGAAGUCGUAACA
rnacentral:rRNA from 1 species